AAGCAAAAUACUUUGUUAUAGAAAUUAACAAAGAUAACCAAUCAUUUAUAUAGUAUGUUACUGGAGAAGUUUCUUUGAUUGUGUAGAGUACUAGAAACCACGAGGAGGAGGCAUAGUGUUCCUUCCUGAGCGAGAAGCUGGCUCUUGGGUGUUGCCUGAGUGUAACUGCCACUUGCCAUUGAUGAUCAUUUUUGUUCUCUCCUUGGAGUGUCCAAGAGGGGAGGAAUGUAGUCUGAGUAGC
ensembl:snoRNA U3 Small nucleolar RNA U3